GCAACCUGCCCAGGGCUCACACAGCCAGCAAGCCUGGGAGGCAGGACUGGAGUCCAGGCUCCAGCUUUCUAGGGAGGGGGCUUCCCUGGCGGCUCAGAUGGUAAAGAAUCUGCCUGCAACGCGAGAGACUCAGGUUUGAUCCCUGGAUCAGGAAGAAUCCUACAGUCCAAACAUUGCAGUUUUGCUGUUCACUUCCAAGGGAGGGCUUGAACUAGAGGCCCGCCGGCUGUCUUCGGCCCUCAGAACAGUUUUAGGAAAAGUACAACUGGUUGUGGCUAUUUUUUAAAAAAUCUAGGUUUUGUGUCAAAACCCAGACUGCCAGCUUUUCUGGGCGAAUUGGGACCUCUGGCCGCACUGGGUGCUCAGACCACCAGGCUGCUCCCAGGCCAGGCGGCAGAUCCUCGCCCUGCGAGGGGCCCCCUCCUGCGAGCUUCCCGUGCUCUGGGCCCCCGCCCUUGUGGUCCCUCUGCCUGGAAUCCUCUCCCAGGAGCCAUUCCCUGGCCGCCUCAUUCCUGUUGCCAAGGAAUCCGGACUCGGGAGAGGGGUGUCUGCCGUGCGCCCCCCGAGGUGCCCACCUGGCUGCUUCUGAAGCGUCGAGCCUAGACGCACAGAGACCGCGUGACAGGGAGACCCAUGCACACGGGGAGCCGACUGGCCGGCAGCUGUGGCCUUGGACCCAGACCUGGAAUGCCGGCCAGGAACCCCCCGCCCCAGCCAGCCUGAGGGGCACCCCGAUUGCCCCGUGGGGGGCCAGCCGGCCGUCCCCCUGCGGGGCUGGUGCAGGGAGUGGCUGUGUGGCCUGGCACACUCGUGGAAGGGUGGAAGCAGCCGCUGUCUCCGUGUGUGUGUCUGUGACCAGGCCCCCUCCCUCUAUGUGAACGUGUGUGGCAAGCAGCCACACUGCAUGGCACUCCACGGCCGUGACCCCGGCCCUGGGCCCUGAGUCGGGGGCCGGGCUGCCCACCUCGGGGGCUUUUGUCCGUUUCUGAAGUGACAAGAGACGUACAAAAGGGCUUUUAAUUAAAUCAAAGGAGGAAACGGGCCGGCCGGGCCGCUAUUAUGUUACCAAACGUGAAAAUGAAAACUUAUUUUUAAAGCUCUGGUAUUAAUUUGAGAUUAUUCAGAUAGUUAAUUAAAAGUGCAGCAUGUGCUAAAUAUUAUUUCAGC
ensembl:lncRNA